UAAGAUUGCCAUUGUCUACUUUACUGCCCUGCAUAUGCCUCAGUGGUGCCCAGAACCACCCAUUAUCUUCUUUUCAACAAAAAUCUCACUUCAGCCCAGCAUGACUGUGGCAGGUCUCAGGCUGCACAGCCUCCUUGGUGAUACAGUCAUCUAUGUGUGAGUUAACACAGCGGUGGCACCUCUCUUUCUAACAGAUGUCCCUGGUUGUGACAUACAGGUGAGUACUGCUGACAAUCCUAGCUUGCCAAAUCAAUGUGUAAAGUCUUUGACAGUUUCACUUUAUGUAGCACUACUUCCUUAUAAUUUUAAAAGAAUUUACUAACAGCAUAAAGAUCACUUAAAGUUUUAAAAUCAGAAAUCUCAGAAGUCAUACAAUCGUAGAAUUGUUUACGUUGGAAGGGACCUUUAAAGGUUAUCUAGUCCAACUGCCCUGCAAUAAACAGGGACAUCUACAGCUACAUGUUUUCUUCAUUGUCUGCUGUAGAGCCUCCUGAGCAUCCAGAUCAAGCAGGUAUAUCUGUGUCAAGUCACAAAAAGAAAAAAAAAGAAAAAAAAAAAACAAAAAAGCAGUGUACAAAAUUCUCUUGCAUCUCUGCUUUUAGAGAGCCUACAGAAAAGGAUGAUUUUGGUGUUUCCAUCUGCCGUGUCUUCCAUUUUCAGCCCUCCAGACAGUUUGUGCUUGUCUUGCAUGGCUGCUCAGGGAUGGCAGAAGUGGUGACUGCAUGGUGGAGUGAAGAGAGGCAGAGGGAGAAGGGGAAAAGAAAGGGGGACUUGAAAGAAAAGUAGAACACCCACUGCCUAUGAGACAGGAAGGGUUUUCAGUCACUUUUGCUGGAAUGGAAUGUGAUGCCACCAAUUCAACAUGUAUUGUGAUACAGAAUAACAGACUGGAACCGCUUAGAGUCAAGUGAUGAGUAACUGCAGAACUUAGAGCAGCAGAAAGGAGCAGAAGCAUCUGGGAGCUGUAGUCCUCUGAAGAAAACACUCUCCAGUGUCUGUUCGUAGGCAAUUUCUUCCUUUCCUCUCACCCUCCACAAAGUUCUUCUGUGAUAACCAAAGCAUUUUUUUUCUUCGUUGUCUGCUGUGAAGCCUUCUGAGCAUUCCGAUCAGGUGGUUAAGCAGCAGCAUUAGAGCUACAGGAGAUGCAUGCAGUUAAGGUGCAAUCCCAUGCCAAAACCAUGAUGAAUGGUCUGCAUUGGCCCAGCAGCUGAUGGGUCAUCUAUCAUAGUUAAGGAAGAAGUUGCUGUUAAAUCACCUCUGCUUGAAAAACUCUUGCAAGUUACCUCGCUGGGAAUCAUCAAACUUGCCAUUCUGGAGAAUACUGAUCAUUGUCAGCCACAGUGAAUCAGCCCCCAGACGUGUCACAGAGUGUCUGCAUUUGCGUGCAAAAGGUUUUUGAAGAGACCUUCAGCACAGCUCUGAUGAGACACAGCCUAUGCUGGAGCGAGGAACCCCCCUGGCAGAAGUGAGUGAGCGCAUGAACGAGGGAAGGAGUGAAAGACUGCCUGUCAGACUGGACUACCCGUGUGUUAAUCUGGCUGCUUCAGACACCGAAUACCACACAGAACCCAUGUUGUUCCAAGAAGUGAAUUCAUAUACAGAGCAAGCUGUAAGUCUCAUCAUAAAAGCUCGUUCAUCUCUGAAAAGCUAGUCUGCUUCAGGUGCUUGUGAUUCCCAACUGGGAAAGCUGGUAUCAUUCAUCUGUUGGCAUGUUUGUAAUGUGUCUAAUGCAACAGAUCCAUGAUCGUAGUGGGGAGAGGAAGACUUCUUUCUGAGGAGAUGGGGAAGGUGCCACAAAGAUGCAUUUAUGGUAGCAUAUUGAUGGAGGGGGAAGCAUAAGCGUGUUUACCCAAGGUAAUGUAAUGUGAAUUGCCCUGAGACACACAAGGGUUUAUCAUUACAGUUCACGAGCCACAAAAGGGGGGCCACCAACAGCGAAUGGCUUCAGCGAAGUCAAGCCAUUUCUUUCCAAGGCCUCACACAUUAGUCCACACCAAGUCCGACCAUCUGAGUACCUUGGAAGUGAAUGUAAAUGCCUACAUGAAUAGAGCAAGCUGGACUUUUUGUGAAACACUAAUAAUUUUAUGUAUAUGGUGGUAGCACUCAGGAACUGCUGACCAUGGAGUAAACACAGUUUCUGCCUGAAGGCUGGAAGGUACAUUUCUGUACAGAAAAUACUUCAUAGAAGUUGUAUUACCACCAGCAAGAUCUUGCUCUGCAAAUCUACUUAAUCUAUGUAUUUAGAAUCAUGUGUGCUCUAGUGACAUAAUAAAGGUCAGUUAAUUCUUUUCCCUACUCUGAUGACAGUGAGGUUAAGCAGUUCUCUUUCAUUCAAAAGAAAUACCUCCUUGAUUAGAGUAACAGAUACAUCUAGGAAGCUGUAGCUACAGGUACAAUUUAACCUACAAAAUAUAGGGACU
ensembl:lncRNA